rnacentral:rRNA from 1 species
GAUGAACGCUGGCGGCGUGCCUAAUACAUGCAAGUCGAGCGGACCAAAGAGAGCUUGCUCUCUGAGGUUAGCGGCGGACGGGUGAGUAACACGUGGGUAACCUGCCUGUAAGACGGGGAUAACUUCGGGAAACCGAAGCUAAUACCGGAUAAUAAAGAGAAACGCCUGUUUCUUUUUUGAAAGUCGGCCUUGUGCUGACGCUUACAGAUGGGCCCGCGGCGCAUUAGUUAGUUGGUGAGGUAACGGCUAACCAAGGCGACGAUGCGUAGCCGACCUGAGAGGGUGAUCGGCCACACUGGGACUUGGACACGGCCCAGACUCCUACGGGGGGUAGCAGUAGGGAAUCUUCGGCAAUGGACGAAAGUCUGACCGAGCAACGCCGCGUGAGCGAUGAAGGCCUUCGGGUCGUAAAGCUCUGUUGUCAGAGAAGAACAAGUACCGGAGUAACUGCCGGUACCUUGACGGUACCUGACCAGAAAGCCACGGCUAACUACGUGCCAGCCGCCGCCGUAAUAA